AUUUAAAAGUACACCUAUUUAUACCUUAGGUGUCUCCAUUUUAGGUUACUGUAGUUCAAAUAUGAAAAAGUAACACUUCUUUUACUUUAUUCAAUUUAGGACCUCCCUUAAUUUGGCAAACAUACAAGGCCAUAACUAAAGGGUGCAAACGUCAUGGAAAUUUUCCUGACUUAGUUCAAAAUGGCAUCUUAAAGUCUGAAUAGGUUAUCUGUUGUUUAUACUAAGUCGUAAGUGUACAGUCGCGGGAGAUUCCUGGAUUUGGGGAAGUUCCAUUAACUUGUAUAUUGUGUACUGCAAGAGUCGUAGCAUAGCCUUGAAGCUUGUUUAUGCAUUAUUGUUAUUGUAAUUCGUCUGGGACAAAAUGGCACAAACAUAUUAUGCACUGAGGUUAUUGCUUAAAGAAACAGUUAUGAAAAACAAUAUGUUCCAUUUCUAACACCUUGUCAGUUUGCAAUAUCUCUUAAAGACAAAGUACACAGUUUAAGAAAUACAAUAUUUCAUUCUAAAACUUGUAAUAUUUGCAUUUGCCUGUAACAGACUUUUCUACACUGUGCUAUCUCACCGGUAUUUGGUGCUCAAAGACAUCGUGCAGUAGUUUUAAACUAUACAACAGGGGACACAUUGUACAGUAAUUAUUUUUCAUAUAGCCUGUAUAUGUUCUGCGGAAUCUGCAUUAAACUGUAUCUUCCAAACUACUGAACGGAUCUGGGUGAAUUUUGGAUAUGUGGUUCACCCAGAUCCCCUGGUUCCGAGGAUAUAUUUCAUGGGGUUAUUGCAUGUUUUGGGAUCCCUGUGAUAGGUUUUAUAAUACUGUAUUUCUCUGCCUGUGAUAAUUAUAUUAACCAUUGUGUUCAGUAAUUAUAUCACAGGCAGAGGGGAG